AACGAACGCUGGCGGCAGGCUUAACACAUGCAAGUCGAACGCGUGUAGCAAUACACGAGUGGCGCACGGGUGAGUAACGCGUGGAUAUCUGCCUUUUGGUUCGGAAUAACCCCGGGAACGUAGGGCGUAAUACCGGAGUGGUUCCGUUCGGGAGUAAAGAAUUUAUUCGCCAAAAGAAUGAGUCCGCGUACGAUUAGCUAGUUGGUGAGGUAAUGGCUCACCAAGGCGACGAUCGUUAGCUGGUCNGAGAGGAC
rnacentral:rRNA from 1 species